GACAAAGAUCAGCAGAAACAACAGGGUUGGUAAGGUGGGAGAGACAGAAACCAACCACUAAAGAGCAGCUCCUUGACAACCUCCAAAUCACAAUGAGGAGAAACUUCCUGGCUCACAUUUUCCACAUAAACACUAGAGUGCUGGGCAGUGUUAACGGCUCCUGCCUAAUGCACGAGAGAACGACCUCUGUCCAAAGCCAGCAGCGAUUGACGUCACAGACAGAGCGUCUCGGAGACUCGCCGGAAGAAUCAGAAUCAUACUAAUGAAAUCCUCAUCUCCUGCUUUUAUCUGUCUACAAAAUGAAGUUAAGAGCGAUGCUGCCACCGAAUCUACUUCAUGCUUCCUGUAUGUGCACGUGUGGAGAACGAUCUACUAAAGCGUGGGUUUCUUCUCAGGAUGGGCAUCCUGGAAGAAAAUUGAUUCUCCCUUCCCUAGUGGCCACCAGUUAUCACGAGCCCCUUGCCAGCCUACAUUGGAUUUUUGCUGCUGUGAUCUUAUGUAUGUCGUGUACAUGCAUCUGCAGUCACGGUGAGUUCUAGUGUGCAGCUGUGCAGUCAUGGCUAACAAAAACGUUGUCACUAAAAAUGCCCACCACCUCUUCCCAUCUCUCUACUCCUUUUUCAGUGAUCUCAGGGGCCUUGCAAGAAAGGUGUUCCAUUUAGAGAUAUGUACCCACAGUGUUAUUCUCUGCCCACUGAACAGAUGUGGGUCUUUGUUAUUAAUUACAAUCGAUUGCAAAAAGGCGGUUCUCUGGUUAAGGAUGAGAGAUGCACAAAUCUGUGGUAUAACACAGUGGGCAGUUUAUUCCUAUGUUUAUUUAAUAUUAGGUUCUCCUCUAUGACCUAUGAUGUAGCCAGUCAUAUGUGGUUUGGUUUGGUUUGGUUUUGGCCUCAUUACUGAUACUCAUCAUGAGUUCUGUCUUAUAGAAUGGGCUUUAAGUCUAGAAUGUAGAUAGUUACCUCUAUACCAUUUGAGCCACUGUUGAACCAAUCCGUAUAUCAUGUCAAGCCAUGGUGUUCAUAGAACCUUGCGAAUGACCCUACUCUUUUUUUGGUGCUUAUUCUGUGAGAUCUAAGGCACAGAUAACUCCAGAUCUCAAAAUAAGACAAAAUUUCAGCAGUUCAUAAUCUUUAAAAUUCAUUAAAUGUAUAUAUUUACCUAGUGUUUAUAUGAAAACUGAGGGUUAAAACCACAACACAGUGUUUUAACUCUAAGAAACCUUUUACAACAAGAUACUAUUGAAUGUAUUAAAGAAAAAAGAGGCACGGUCUAUUACUGUAUGAUGUACUACAGAUUUCAUGAGAACAUGUCACUGUGAGAAAAUGUAUAUUUAUGUAGGAUAAAUACCAUGUGUACUUAUUAUGUGUGAGUGGGAAUUCAACUUUCAGUUUGCUUAAUAAUUUUGUGAUUUUGAUAACUUUGUGAUUUUUUGUUCAAGUGUUGAAUGGCCAAUGAAAUACACAUUUAGGUGAAAAAUCCUGUGGAUAUUUUUUUUUACUAGCUGCGCUUUGUAGUCCAGCUUGAGAAGUGAUAUUGGAAAGACUCCUCCUCAAUGUUCCCUUUAUAAAUGGCCCAGGCAGAACUGGCUUACAUCAGUCUCUUUGGCAAGUUACCACACAUCCCUGAGCUUGAGUCAGGUGUUCUGGUGGGAAUGGGUAAAUGUCUCGUUGGGUGUGAAAUUUGAAAAUGUCUUCUUGAACAAGUUUGAGCCAUUAAACUCACACAUGAGCUCCGCAUGCUUCAUUUCCCCACCCUGGACCACACACAUCCCAGCUGGAAGCCGACUCCGUAGCCAAUCCACAGUCUGGAGACAAUGGUGUCAUCACAGUCUGGGGACAAUGGUGUCAUCAGGCUCCUCUUUGCUCUGGCCAUGUAUCUGUGGCUCUCCUGAUGGUGGUCCAGAACUUCUCAGACUCCUUCCUGUGGUGUUGCUGCAGGAGGGGGUGGAUCCUGGAAUCCUGAGUGUGCAGUCAGAAGUAGCUUGCACUAAAUCUAAAAAUGUUUCUUU